GGGGCAUUAGCUCAGUUGGGAGAGUAUCUGCGUGGCACGCAGGAGGUCGUCGGUUCGAGCCCGACAUGCUCCA
rnacentral:tRNA from 1 species